UUACCAAUUCUAUGAAUUGCAAAGCAGCCUCGGAGACGCUGAGGGGUAGAGAGGGGGAGAUGCGAAGAUUGAAAGGGAUCUUUGCAAACACAAUCACGUUCUUAAAUGGAAAUGUGGGGCUUUAAACAAAUCUUACAUCUCUCCUGUUCCAGUCGUCUAAAACUCCGCAAUCAGGCACACGUUCGACUCCAUCUAAAACCACAGCUUUUUUAGAAGAUUUUUUUGGUAUCACUUCUAUUUAAAUUAUUUACCUCAGUGUAUUUUUUUUUAGUUCACGUUCGUGUUUGUGUGUUUGUCUUGCUCUUAUGGGGUGUUUCCACAGGCUUUUGCGAGGAAAUGUGCUGGAGAAUUCAGGCGUCAAACCAAAACGCUUCUCAGUGGCUCAAAGGGGCCUGAAAGGACCGAGCGACUUGCUUUAGAGACAUCUGAGGAAUCCAUUGAAAAAGCCAAUAACGGGAUCAAGGGGCAUUUGGGUAUGAAUUCUACCAUAUGAUCAUAUCUAGUUAGGGAGGCUGCUUUAGCAACAGAUGCUUUGAGAUCACCACGAUAUGUUCGCACUGAACUUGUAGCCACGGGGUUAUAUGUACCUUAUGUGUGUGUUUUUUUCGAGGGCAGCUCUGUACUGGGACCGGCUAGGAGACGGUGAUGGCAAAGAGCGGAGUGACCAGACCAGCUCCAGCCCAAAAGGGGUCACGACCAGACGCCAAGUGCUCCUGUCUCGAUGUCGUCUGUGGUCAAGCACUCGCCGGGGGUGGCAUGUGCAGGAUGUAGACUGGAGCAGGUGUGGUGCCUGUAGGUCCUUUUUGCACCACAUGUACUCAGGUAAGGCCAUGGGGCAUGAUGUUGCCAAAAGUGUCACAUUCCAACAUUUUACACUCUCUCUCUCUCUCAAUCACACAAACAAACACAUUGAACCAUCUGCUUGUUCAGUAUUUUCUUUA